rnacentral:rRNA from 1 species
CAGCCGCCGCGGAAUACAGAGGGUGCGAGCGUUAAUCGGAUUUACUGGGCGUAAAGCGUGCGUAGGCGGCUUUUUAAGUCGGAUGUGAAAUCCCUGAGCUUAACUUAGGAAUUGCAUUCGAUACUGGGAAGCUAGAGUAUGGGAGAGGAUGGUAGAAUUCCAGGUGUAGCGGUGAAAUGCGUAGAGAUCUGGAGGAAUACCGAUGGCGAAGGCAGCCAUCUGGCCUAAUACUGACGCUGAGGUACGAAAGCAUGGGGAGCAAACAGGAUUAGAUACCCCAGUAGUCCCUGUCUCUUAUACA